rnacentral:hammerhead_ribozyme from 1 species
AUCCAGCUAAAGAGUCCCGAAUAGGACGAAACGAGCAUCUUGGAU